ACGCCUCUCUGGGUGUUUUCUUUCCUGUUUGCUGAACUUCGUGGAGUGGAGCUUGUUGUUGGUGUGUGUGAAGAAACUUGUAACAAGUGUCACCUGGCAGUUUGUUGCUCUCUGCCAGGUGAUUGGCUGAAGAGCUGUGAAAAGGUAGUGGGUGUGUGGGGUGAAGUCAGCGCUCUUCUGUCAGGCAAUUAAUUCACUCGGGUGCGAGUGGGUAUACUGUCGUGUGACCACGAAUUUUAAUAGAAGAAUUGAUCAAGCCCUAGAUCGACUGCGCGCAGGGAAUCUGAUCAGUAUUAUCGUAGGCCAUGCAUAGUGCUGAUUCCCAGCUGCGCUGAGACCCGAAUUGUUUGCAGUGUCGCUAAGCGGGGUGUGACGGGUUGCAGUGUUGUUAUUUUCGCACCGUUUGUGUGGUGAAGGUAGAAAGUGUGUGUGAGCUGAUGUGAAUUGAGCAGCAUGGAU